UCACUCCGGGAAACCGGAGCUAAUACCGGAUAGUUCCUUGAACCGCAUGGUUCAAGGAUGAAAGACGGUUUCGGCUGUCACUUACAGAUGGACCCGCGGCGCAUUAGCUAGUUGGUGGGGUAAUGGCUCACCAAGGCGACGAUGCGUAGCCGACCUGAGAGGGUGAUCGGCCACACUGGGACUGAGACACGGCCCAGACUCCUACGGGAGGCAGCAGUAGGGAAUCUUCCGCAAUGGACGAAAGUCUGACGGAGCAACGCCGCGUGAGUGAUGAAGGUUUUCGGAUCGUAAAGCUCUGUUGUUAGGGAAGAACAAGUGCGAGAGUAACUGCUCGCACCUUGACGGUACCUAACCAGAAAGCCACGGCUAACUACGUGCCAGCAGCCGCGGUAAUACGUAGGUGGCAAGCGUUGUCCGGAAUUAUUGGGCGUAAAGGGCUCGCAGGCGGUUUCUUAAGUCUGAUGUGAAAGCCCCCGGCUCAACCGGGGAGGGUCAUUGGAAACUGGGAAACUUGAGUGCAGAAGAGGAGAGUGGAAUUCCACGUGUAGCGGUGAAAUGCGUAGAGAUGUGGAGGAACACCAGUGGCGAAGGCGACUCUCUGGUCUGUAACUGACGCUGAGGAGCGAAAGCGUGGGGAGCGAACAGGAUUAGAUACCCUGGUAGUCCACGCCGUAAACGAUGAGUGCUAAGUGUUAGGGGGUUUCCGCCCCUUAGUGCUGCAGCUAACGCAUUAAGCACUCCGCCUGGGGAGUACGGUCGCAAGACUGAAACUCAAAGGAAUUGACGGGGGCCCGCACAAGCGGUGGAGCAUGUGGUUUAAUUCGAAGCAACGCGAAGAACCUUACCAGGUCUUGACAUCCUCUGACAACCCUAGAGAUAGGGCUUUCCCUUCGGGGACAGAGUGACAGGUGGUGCAUGGUUGUCGUCAG
rnacentral:rRNA from 1 species